rnacentral:miRNA from 1 species
CGUUGGAAGAUUGGAUCUCAGCA